AGAUUGUUCCACCUGGUACAAAAGAAUAGGGGAGAGGAGUAAAGGCCAGGAUCCCAAAAGCUGGAUUCUUUUGGGAGAGAAAAGAUCCAGAGAGGAAAAUAUAUUACAUGUGAAUAUAGUUCAAGACAUCAUUCGCCAGGCCAUGCAGAGCAAACAUGAAGACAUGUUAAAAGCCAUGCCAUUUCCCGUACUAUCAUGGCUGUCAGCGGAAGGAGGAUUUUGAAGGGAGUCAAGAGAGGGAAUGACUGUCAACCAAGCAGAUACUUUAUGAGAGCAGCAAAAUUAUAUGAUUUUGUGAAGUGUUGCUACAUAAAUAUGAUAGCAACUUUUUCUACACAAAGGGUCUUAGGCAAAUCUGUAAUUUUUCCAGUAUACAUAAAAUUGUUCAGCCAUGUACUACUUAAAAUGUUCAUUGGUAUGCAGCAUACCGACCAUGUGUUGAGAAAUCCAGUUUGGGUAGACUCUAGAACAAAAAUAACUUUCUAAUACUUUUAGAAUAUAAAAAGACUGUUGUAUAUGUGUCAAGUUCACAAACAUAAAGAAUAAGGUUAUCAUUUAAAAGAAAGCUUUAUACAAAAUACUUUCAAUAAAGAGAUUAUUAAUAUUUGCUUUUGUGCUUUUUCUUUAGAUUUUAGCCUUCAUCCUAAUAAGAAACAUCCCUGGAUAUGCCCGUUCAGUUUACAGUUCAUUUUUUGCUUGGUUUGGAAAAAUUUCAUUAGAGCUAUUUAUUUGCCAGUAUCACAUAUGGCUGGCAGCGGAUACAAGGGGUAUCUUGGUACUGAUACCUGGAAACCCUAUGCUCAACAUCAUUGUCAGCACUUUCAUAUUUGUUUGUGUGGCACAUGAAAUUUCUCAGAUCACUAAUGAUCUUGCACAGAUUAUUAUUCCUAAAGAUAACUCAUCUCUCUUGAAAAGGUUGGCAUGUAUAGCUGCAUUUUUUUGUGGACUCCUCAUCUUAUCAUCCAUUCAAGAUAAAUCAAAACAUUAGGUUCCAAAAAUUCUAAAAAACCUAAACUCUUCAGGCUACCUUUGUGUGUCUCUAGAAGAGAAAAGCAUCUAUCUGGAGAUAUAAAUGUGUAUGUAAAUAUAAACGUUUUGGCAAGAGGACAGUUCUGUGACAUCUGUUAAACAUAUGUGGUUGUAUAUAUUGGAAAUGUACAUAUCCAAUGUGAAAUACUAAAACAAACAAACAAACAAAAAACCAGAAUGCAUUGUAUAGGAUUGCAUGUGAAGUCUUUUCUACUGAAUCUAUAUUUCCAUUUGUAAGUGAUUUUAAGUUAACAUAUGAAGGCAGGGAAAUGAUUACCUUUCCAGUAAAAAGUAUAGAUAAUUUAAUUAACUUAGUGACACCACCAAGUGUUUUGAUAUAACUAAAUUUGUGGUAAGAAGACUGUCUGCACCUGUAUUCAUUGUGGAACUUCCUCUUUCAUUGGAAACUUUCUUACUCAAGAAUGACGGCAGUAUUGUUUUCUUAUAUGUGCAAUGAAGUGGAAUGAUAAACAGUAUGCCUUUAAUUUAUAUGUGUUCUUGUUCUGAUGUUAUGUUUCCUGAAAUGAUUUUUCUUCCUAACUGUGGUUUUCAGGUAUGCAAGCCUAAAUCUUUGUACACUUUGUCUCACAGAAUAGUUCUGAGGCUCCAUGACAGGGUUUUGUCAUUGUUGAUGUUAUUGUUGCUUCUUUUUAUAAAAAAGCCAAAAAUUUUUUUCCAAUCCAAACGUUCACCUGUUUCCUUUCCUCAAGCUAUACCAGUGUAAUACCAGUUACCCUGUGGAUCCAUUUAAUAUGUUAUCCCCACUAAUUAAUUUUCGUAUAUUAUUUCCAAUAUUUGGAAAGCUCUUUAUAGCCAUUUGGUAUUUCCUAUUACCCACCUCCUAUUUUAAAUAUUUAUCAGUCUAAACUUGUGCAGUGUAGUAAACAUGCAAGUUGUUAUGAUUGAGCUGUAUUACCAUAAGUAGAAUUUUAAGUAAACUGGUGAAUUUGGGCAAUAAAUGUUUUUGCUUUUUGUUUGAUUUUUUUUUACAAGCUAACUUAGAGGUAUACAUUUAUUUAUCUGUUGUACAGAUUUGAUUAUGAUUUUAAUGUUUGAAAGAUUGCACUUGUUUGCUUUUACUAUGUGUGGGGUAAAAUAUAUUUUCUGUUCACAGUAUAUGAAAAUAUGGAGUAAUUUAAACAGUAAAUAAACAUUCUGUGGAUGCU
rnacentral:sRNA from 1 species